rnacentral:lncRNA from 1 species
AGGGGGAAAGUCACGGCUGCAACAGCUUUUAGCUACUUGUGGCAAUCCAAAAAUACUCCACCCUUUGCUACUUAAACAAUGGUAGCUAAACACACAUGGGAUACUAUCUAACAACAAACAAACACCCAAGAGACAAUUUAAUCUACUCCAGAAAAAAUUCAGCAGACCAAAGAGGUUGUCUUUUUUAAAAACCGCCGCAACAAAACAAAACAAAGUCAAGGCCUGUUGCGGCAGACCCUUGUUAAUCUUCCUAAACCCAAAUCGUAAAGAAAAGACACUAGGAAUGAAUUUGCAACUCACGGAUCAUGGGCAUGCUGCUUACGGAGGAAAGAAAAACAUGAAAGUUAACAGCUUUCUGGAGUCAUAGGUUUUCCAUCACACAUAUUCAGAAUACACAUAAUA